rnacentral:lncRNA from 1 species
GUGGGGAUCGAACAACACAGGGGAACAAGGAGGAAACCCUUGUUCUUGCUAAAUUCAACAAACUGACAAAGGAUUUCAAAGAUAAUCGAUUGCAUGCUUCAAAAUUUCGAUCAUCUAACCUCGAUUAUUGAAGUGGCGCGAAAGAAGAAGGUUCCAACACUAGGAAAUCGGAAAGUUCACAAGAUCGAGGAUGGAAAUCUCGUCAGUUGAUUCAAGUAUGGAUGGCAAACGGGGUAAGAGGAAGCAAUGAGGCAAGCAUGAACGUGAACACUAAAGGCGCGAAAGAAGAAGGUUCCAACACUAGGAAAUCGGAAAGUUCACAAGAUCGAGAUUAAGUGCAGGUACUACACGAAAUUGGCUUGUAGUAGCUUCCUAGCAUCGUGAUAAGUCUCGCAAGCUUGAUGCUGUAUCUGACUGAACAAUACUUUAUUAUUAUUUUGAUCCCCUGUGGAUACAAUUCGACUUCUGUAAUACACUUGAUAUUACAUUCAAAAGGUUGAAUUAUAUUUAUCUUU